CAACAGAUCCACACCAGAAAGACUCUACAAGUGCAGUUACUGUGAGAAGCAGAGCGACACAGAUGGAUCAAGUUCUCAACCCUGUCAUCGCUGUGGGAAAGACUUUUGUUGUGACCUUUGUGGAAAAACUUUAAGUCAUUGAAGGACUCUGAAAAUACAUCAACGUAGACACACUGGAGACAAAAUGAACUACUGUAAAGAAUGCGGGAGAGGCUUCACCACUUCAAAGGACUUCAAACAAUAUGAACUCCUUCACAGUGGCGUUAAAAAGCAUGUCUGCGAUCAGUGUGGGUCAUCCUUCAUCAGUGCACGUCAGCUUGAAAAGCAUAAACGAGUCCACACAUGAGAGAAACCAUACAAGUGCAGACACUGUGACAAAACCUUUUCACAAUCAUGUGAUCAUACUAAGCAUGAACGCAGACACAUGAAAGAGAACUUCAUCUGUGAAAGAGUUUGAGUAAUCUCAGUUCAUACUCCACUCAGAAACGAUUCCAUGUUACAAAUAAACUGUUACAUCUUGAUUCCUGCUUUUACGUUAAUCUUGUAAACAGUACAUUUGCAUAACGACUGAAACCGGCCCAAUGAAUGAACAAUGGGCUGUGAGGUCAAUUUCUUCAUCAUUAAUAUGCAAAUUCUUAUGAGCAUUGAUCAACAACCA